AGCUUUGUGCAGUGGCAGUAUCAUAUGAGGUUUACCCGAGGCAUGAUUAUUGCUUAUUGAAAACUUUUCCCAAUACCCCCCUAUGAUGACUUGAAAUAUAGUCGGAAUGGCAACUUUUGACUGUCUAUGCGGAGA